UACGGGGGGGGCAAGUGUUGUUCGGAAUUACUGGGCGUAAAGAGCGCGCAGGCGGUCGUUCAAGUCGAGUGUGAAAGCCCCCGGCUCAACUGGGGAGGGUCACUCGAUACUGGUCGACUCGAAGGCAGGAGAGGGAAGCGGAAUUCCCGGUGUAGUGGUGAAAUGCGUAGAUAUCGGGAGGAACACCAGUGGCGAAGGCGGCUUUCUGGCCUGCUCUUGACGCUGAGGCGCGAAAGCUAGGGUAGCAAACGGG
rnacentral:rRNA from 1 species